GGUUAAGCGACUAAGCGUACACGGUGGAUGCCUAGGCAAUCAGAGGCGAUGAAGGACGUGCUAAUCUGCGAUAAGCGUCGGUAAGGUGAUAUGAACCGUUACAACCGACGAUUUCCGAAUGGGGAAACCCAGUGCAAUUCGUUGCACUAUCGUUUGAUGAAUACAUAGUCAAACGAAGCGAACCGGGGGAACUGAAACAUCUCAGUACCCCGAGGAAAAGAAAUCAACCGAGAUUCCCCUAGUAGCGGCGAGCGAACGGGGAGCAGCCCAGAGUCUUAAUCAGCAUUAGCAUCAGGAGAACGGUCUGGAAAGUCCGGCAGUAAAGGGUGAUAGCCCCGUAUCCGAAGGUGUUAGUGUUGUGAACUCGACGAGUAGGGCGGGACACGUGUUAUCCUGUCUGAAUAUGGGGGGACCAUCCUCCAAGGCUAAAUACUCCUGAUUGACCGAUAGUGAACCAGUACCGUGAGGGAAAGGCGAAAAGAACCCCGGCGAGGGGAGUGAAAUAGAACCUGAAACCGUGUACGUACAAGCAGUGGGAGCCUGACUUGUGGCUGGGGGUGAAAGGCCAAUCAAACCGGGAGAUAGCUGGUUCUCCCCGAAAGCUAUUUAGGUAGCGCCUCGUGAACUCAUCUUCGGGGGUAGAGCACUGUUUCGACUAGGGGGUCAUCCCGACUUACCAACUCGAUGCAAACUACGAAUACCGAAGAAUGUUAUCACGGGAGACACACGGCGGGUGCUAACGUUCGUCGUGAAGAGGGAAACAACCCAGACCGCCAGCUAAGGUCCCAAAGUCAUAGUUAAGUGGGAAACGAAGUGGGAAGGCUCAGACAGCCAGGAUGUUGGCUUAGAAGCAGCCAUCAUUUAAAGAAAGCGUAAUAGCUCACUGGUCGAGUCGGCCUGCGCGGAAGAUGUAACGG
rnacentral:rRNA from 1 species